CUCAGAUUGAACGCUGGCGGCAGGCUUAACACAUGCAAGUCGAACGGUAGCAGAGAAUAGCUUGCUAUUUUGCUGACGAGUGGCGGACGGGUGAGUAAUGCUUGGGAAUUUGCCGAAAGGUGGGGGACAACAGUUGGAAACGACUGCUAAUACCGCAUAAUGUCUACGGACCAAAGGUGGCCUCUAUUUAUAUGCUAUCGCCUUUCGAUGAGCCCAAGUGGGAUUAGCUAGUUGGUAAGGUAAUGGCUUACCAAGGCGACGAUCCCUAGCUGGUCUUAGAGGAUGACCAGCCACACUGGAACUGAGACACGGUCCAGACUCCUACGGGAGGCAGCAGUGGGGAAUAUUGCACAAUGGGCGAAAGCCUGAUGCAGCCAUGCCGCGUGUAUGAAGAAGGCCGUUCGGGUUGUAAACGUACGUUUCAGUUGUGAGGAGGGGUAGGUGUUAAUAGCGCUAUCUCUUGACGUUACGCACAGAAGAAUG
rnacentral:rRNA from 1 species